rnacentral:rRNA from 1 species
UACGUAGGGUGCAGGCGUUGUCCGGAAUUAUUGGGCGUAAAGAGCUCGUAGGCGGUCUGUCGCGUCGGCUGUGAAAUCCCGAGGCUCAACCUCGGGUCUGCAGUCGAUACGGGCAAACUGGAGUGUUGCAGGGGAGACUGGAAUUCCUGGUGUAGCGGUGAAAUGCGCAGAUAUCAGGAGGAACACCGGUGGCGAAGGCGGGUCUCUGGGCCGAUACUGACGCUGAGGAGCGAAAGCGUGGGGAGCGAACAGG